rnacentral:lncRNA from 1 species
UGGGUUUUCAUUUCCCUUUAACUGACAAAUAUUAGAAUCAGACAACGUGCAUCUCUGCUUACUGCUGGACAAGGCCUACAGGUAGAGAUGGUAUUUCAGACGAAGUAGGAUGGCCAGAAGGCUUAGGCAAACUGUGAGGCAUUGAGCCCUUCAGGUCUAAAACAGAAGCUUUGGAUACUUAGUGAGCAGCUGCUCAGGGCUUAGUUAGAUACUUGUCAAUUACAUCUUCGAGGGGAAAAAAAGUAAGUAUUGGUAUGUCUAGGUCCUAACAGCUCCUGUAAAAUAUUGCUGGAUUACUUGUAAGCAUUGUUUGGGACAUACAAAGGGUGGACGAAUUUUAUGAGGUAGUCUUUCUGUGUCUUAGGUGUGGGAAAAAUUUGUUUCUUUUGAAUGACCUAGUAAGAAAAUAUAAACCUGAAAGCUCCUACAGUAUACUUAAGAGUGUGCAUCCCCCAGAACUGACUCAAAUGUGCUUCAAAUUGUCUUCCCUUUCAAUUUCUGCAGGCUCUUGUGGGAAACCCAGAAAGUGGCUUUUACAUUUACAGCCUUUCUUGCUCUGACACGGGCAGAACGAUCUUCAAUGUGGAAGCUGAAGCCCUGUCCCUGGGGUAGUGAGUCCAUGCAGAAGGUCACAUCUGACUGACAGUGCUGAGGAUCCCGGGCAGCUCUCCGACUCCACGUGCCUGUGCCGUCCCCUGGGAUGGGGCCUCCUGCUGCCCUGGCCACUGGGGACCUUGCAGGGGACAUGGAGGCGCUGGCUGUCACAGCACCAGAAGCAGCACAGAAAGAUGCAACAGCAUCACGAGCAGAGGUGGAUGCCUUAAAAGCAGCAGCAGUAAGAGGGGAGAUGGAAAGUCCAAAGGGAAGUCCCGGUGGAAACCUGGUCAACCCUGACAGAGCAGCGGUGGAAGCAUCAGAAAACCCAGAGGCGGAAAGAGUCGCUGAAGCAUUUGCCCGAGCAGCAGAAAAAAUAGCGAAAGCAGAAGUAACCAAGGUGUUGCAAUCAGCAAUAGCUGAGCUCAAAGAGAAGAAGAGGAGCAUGUGGCUAAAGCAGAGGAACACCAUUCAACUGGAGAAGGAGGACUUGGUAAAAGAGGGAGAGAUGAUAUGAGAUGGCGGAGAGGUGGCAUUGUGGGUCGUACCCAUAGGGGGGCUGGUACCCUGAUACUGAGUGCUAUGGUCACUCCAGGAAUGCAGUAGGGCUGUCCAUUUUGUCUUUUUUGUGAGUGCCCAUACUAUUAAAAAAUAAAGAUAUGCCAUAUUUGAAGACCCUUGUCUCU